GUACACGCUGUGACUAGCAUAUCAAUAAGCGGAGGAAAAGAAACUAACAAGGAUUCCCCUAGUAACGGCGAGUGAAGCGGGAAGAGCUCAAAUUUGAAAUCUUAAAGGGUUUCCCUUUACGAAUUGUAGUUUAAAGAAGUGUUUUCUGUUGAGGUUUUGGUAAAAGUUCUUUGGAAUAGGACAUCAUAGAGGGUGAGAAUCCCGUAUUUGACCUUUACUUUCAACUUUGUGAUACACUUUCAAAGAGUCGGAUUGUUUGGGAAUGCAGUCCAAAAUGGGUGGUAAAUUUCAUCUAAAGCUAAAUAUUGGCGAGAGAACCGAUAGCGAACAAGUACCGUGAGGGAAAGAUGAAAAGAACUUUGAAAAGAGAGUUAAACAGUACGUGAAAUUGUCAAAAGGGAAGCGUUUGACAGCCAGUGUUGUUUUUCUGAAAAUCAAUUAAAGAACUGUUUAUGCUAAGCUGUUUAGACUUUAUCAGCUAUCUGUUUAGUUUUGAGCUUUUCUUUAAUGCACUUUUCAGUUAACAAGUCAACAUCAAUUUCUUUUGCUGUAAAAAAGCUUGAGGAAGGUGGCUUGAGAUUCGUCUUAAGUGUUUAUAGCCUCUUGCCUAUGCAGUCGGAGAGAUUGAGGUCUGCAGCGUAGAUCCUUCGGGGCUAAAUGCAUUUGUGCUAAGUUAUAGCAUUUUAUAGACAACUUGUUGACUAUGAUUUGUCUUGUAGCUUACUCGCUUAUGUUAUUUUACCUACGCUUAGGAUGUUGAGUCGUAGAGCACGCAG
rnacentral:rRNA from 1 species